GUUAUAUAGUCAAGCGACUAAGCGCAUACGGUGGAUGCCUUGGCAGUCAGAGGCGAUGAAGGACGUAGAAACCUGCGAUAAGCGUUGGGGAGCUGGUAAACGAGCUUUGAUCCAACGAUUUCCGAAUGGGGAAACCCAACCGUCAUAAGACGGUUAUCUUGCACUGAAUACAUAGGUGUAAGAAGCGAACCCGGAGAACUGAAACAUCUAAGUACCCGGAGGAAAAGAAAUCAACCGAGAUUCCCUUAGUAGCGGCGAGCGAACGGGGAACAGCCGAUAAUUAAAGUUGUAGUGGAACACUCUGGAAAGUGUGGCGAUAGAGGGUGAUAGCCCCGUACACGAAGCAGCUUUAGUUACAUAUUAAGUAGGACGGGACACGUGUUAUCUUGUCUGAAGAUGGGGGGACCAUCCUCCAAGGCUAAAUACUCCUGACUGACCGAUAGUGAACCAGUACCGUGAGGGAAAGGCGAAAAGAACCCCUGUGAGGGGAGUGAAAUAGAUCCUGAAACCGUAUGCGUACAAGCAGUGGGAGCAGACUUGUUCUGUGACUGCGUACCUUUUGUAUAAUGGGUCAGCGACUUAAUUUUAGUAGCAAGGUUAACCGUAUAGGGGAGCCGUAGGGAAACCGAGUCUUAAUAGGGCGCACAGUUGCUAGGAUUAGACCCGAAACCGAGUGAUCUAUCCAUGAGCAGGUUGAAGGUUAGGUAACACUGACUGGAGGACCGAACCCACUGUCGUUGAAAAGCCAGGGGAUGACUUGUGGAUAGGAGUGAAAGGCUAAUCAAACUCGGAGAUAGCUGGUUCUCCUCGAAAGCUAUUUAGGUAGCGCCUCGUGUAUCACCCUAGGGGGUAGAGCACUGUUUGGGCUAGGGGGUCAUCCCGACUUACCAACCCCAUGCAAA
rnacentral:rRNA from 1 species